UAACGACUCUCGGCAACGGAUAUCUCGGCUCUCGCAUCGAUGAAGAACGUAGCGAAAUGCGAUACUUGGUGUGAAUUGCAGAAUCCCGUGAACCAUCGAGUCUUUGAACGCAAGUUGCGCCCGAAGCCGUUAAGCUAAGGGCACGUCUGCCUGGGCGUCUCG
rnacentral:rRNA from 1 species